rnacentral:rRNA from 1 species
CGGCGGACGGGUGAGUAACACGUGGGUAACCUGCCUCAAAGAGGGGAAUAGCCUCCCGAAAGGGAGAUUAAUACCGCAUAAUAUGUUUUUGAUCGCAUGAUCGAGACAUCAAAGGAUUUUCUUCGGAAUUUCCACUUUGAGAUGGACCCGCGGCGCAUUAGCUAGUKGGAGAGGUAACGGCUCACCAAGGCAACGAUGCGUAGCCGACCUGAGGGGGGAUCGGGCCACAUUGGAACUGAGACACGGUCCAGMUUCUUACGGRGGSMGCCAGGGGGRAAUAUUGGCAAUGGGGGGAAACCCUGAGCAGCCAACGCCGCUGAAAGGAGAAAGGCCUUCGGGUUGAAAGUUUUGUUUUUYGGGGASAUUAUGAACGGUCCCGAGGAGGAAGCCCCGGCUAACUUMCKUCCCGCAGCCCCCGUAAUACGUUAGGUGCAAGCGGUGUCCGGAUUUUACGGGCGUUAAAGGAUGCGUAGGCGGACAUUUAAGUCAGAUGUGAAAUACCCGAGCUUAACUUGGGUGCUGCAUUUGAAACUGGGUGUCUAGAGUGCAGGAGAGGUAAGUGAAAUUCCUAGUGUAGCGGUGAAAUGCGUAGAGAUUAGGAAGAACACCAGUGGC